GGGGCUGUAGCUCAGUUGGUAGAGCAUUAGCUUUGCAAGCUAGGGGUCAGGGGUUCGACCCCCCUCAGCUCCA
rfam:Elusimicrobia bacterium RIFOXYB2_FTLL_49_7 rifoxyb2_full_scaffold_1450, whole genome shotgun sequence.